rnacentral:rRNA from 1 species
GAUGAACGCUGGCGGCGUGCCUAACACAUGCAAGUCGAGCGAUUUACUUCGGUAAAGAGCGGCGGACGGGUGAGUAACGCGUGGGUAACCUGCCCUAUACACACGGAUAACAUACCGAAAGGUAUGCUAAUACGAGAUAAUAUAAGAGAUUCACAUGGAUUUCUUAUCAAAGCUGAGGCGGUAUAGGAUGGACCCGCGUCUGAUUAGCUAGUUGGUAAGGUAACGGCUUACCAAGGCGACGAUCAGUAGCCGACCUGAGAGGGUGAUCGGCCACAUUGGAACUGAGACACGGUCCAAACUCCUACGGGAGGCAGCAGUGGGGAAUAUUGCACAAUGGGCGAAAGCUUGAUGCAGCAACGCCGCGUGAGUGAUGAAGGCCUUCGGGUCGUAAAACUCUGUCCUCAAGGAAAAUAAUGACGGUACUUGAGGAGGAAGCCCCGGCUAACUACGUGCCAGCCGCCGCGGUAAGAC